rnacentral:rRNA from 1 species
AGUGAACGCUGGCGGUGUGCUUAACACAUGCAAGUCGAACGAGAACGGACUAAAGUUUACUUUUAGUUGUCAGCUAAGUAGGGCGCAACGGGUGAGUAAGUCUAUAGCUAAACCUUACCCUAAAGAGGGGGAUAAUUAAUAGGAAACGUUUUGUAAUACCCUAUACCUACUUAUCUACACAAGUAGUAUAAGAGAAAACUUUAGUGUCUUUAGGAUGGGGCCUGUAUUAGUAUCAGCUAGUUGGUGGUGUAAUGGACCACCAAGGCUAUGACGCAUAACUGGUUUGAGAGGAUGAUCAGUCACACUGGAACUGAGACACGGUCCAGGACUCCUACGGGAGGCAGCAGUGGGGAAUAUGCACAAUGGGGAAACCCUGAUGCAGCAACACCGCGUGGA